AAUGUUUACUUCCUUGAAUCACCUGUGUUCUGCACAGUUUACAACUUGCAAUGGCUCGCACCGUACUGACCAUUCUCCUCAUUGCGGCUUUAAUUUCGGCAACUUUUGCCUCCCCCACGCAAAAUGAGGAUGAAGAGGGCGAUAGCGGCAUUAGAGAGGAACGUUGGAGUUGGUUUAGAAGUAUUGCCAGAGUGGCUUGGGGAGUGGUAAAGGACUAUGCAAGAAAUAACUAAUCUCUGCGCAAGAUGAAUUUUGUCGAUGCACCCAUAAUUAUGCCAUACAUCGUCGCAGGUCUGCAAAACAAUCUAGGUGUUAUUAUUUGUGGGCAAUUUAUUAAAAUAAAUUCAGAAGAUUGGAUGAACAAAACUGCACAUUAAAUAUAUUGUGUUCUUUGUUUUCUUUCACACUAGCAACUUAAAUUGUCCAUCAAAAUCCUUUUGUACGCAUUACGAAAAAUUAUAAUCUCUAAGUUAAAAAGAGACAGACUUAUUUUUAUAUAGAGAGUUAUAUUGAGAAAAUAUUUAAAAAAAAAAAAAACACGAAUUUUUGAAUAAUUUUGUUAAUUUAUCGAAGUUUCUAUCAUUAAU